rnacentral:lncRNA from 1 species
GGUUGGGUAGGUGUGUGUGGUGGGGCGUGGUCGUGUCUGUGUGUCUGUCUGUCGUCGUGCUAUGGUGAAUAGAGAGUGUGUUGUUGUGUGUUGUGGUGGUGCUGAGUGACACUAGCCGCUGCGCUGCCUGAUAGUGAGUGAGAGCGAGAGUGAGAGGGUGAGAGUGGUGUAGUGCGUGCGGUGGAUCAUAGCGAGGAAUGACAAUUGGACGGUGACAUGUGAUUAAUUUAAUAGUGAUGGUGAUGGUGUUGUGUGGUGUGGUGGGUGCUUAAGUGGUGAUAGUGUUGGUGAUGGUGGUGGAGCGGACCUGCCCCAUCACCACCACCUCCACCACCGCAGCGCCAGGGUGGGGGGGGGGAGUGGUGCUGGGUGAUGGACGAGUUAGCGUUGGUGCCACUAGGGUUGUGGGACAAAUUACACGAUCCCGGCGCUUGUCUGCUUGUUGCCCAACGAGUCGGGUUUGUCACCUGCCUCUCGUUCCGUCCGCGGCACAUCCCCCAUGGUACUCCCCUCCAUGGGUCUUGGAGGGGAGGACUUGGGAGGAGAGUGGAGGCAGGGACACUAGAGCGAAGGUAUGGGUGUCAUAUAUAUCUGCCAGCAGUGUACACGCUCCCCAUUGCCUCCCCGCGACAAAGUCUCAUCUUGUCUGCUCACAUACCAAUCCUAGGUAACAAUUUUUAUCGGGUAUACAAAUCACCAGAGCGGAGAGGCGACCGUGCGUACGGCGGAGAAAGCAGCGAGUGAUGCCAUAUCCGUCCCGGGCCACUCCUCUCGUUUCCCAGUCGUUUGUGAGCUCAUCUGGGUCAUUAGGUCUCAGGGCCUUGGUAAAGUGGAACUGAUGUCGUGUGUAGCGAGAAAAGGACCCCAGAAGCCACGCAAAGGGACGGAAACCCCGGCCAGGGCGCGCAGGUGUCCCGCUGCCGAGGGUCACCCGCGCCGCGCCGGGAUGUCGGAUGGCGAAGCUUAUGCAACCAGCUUUUCUUACUCUAAUACCCGCGUGGCACAUAUGGCACUGUUUGGGCCGUGUUUUUGGGUGUUUCCGGAACAUUUGCACGGAACUAAGUAGGGGAACGUGCCGGGGGGCAGUGCGGCCGCCGGGGGGCACCGAGAAAUGUCCAGGUUUCAAUCAUGUUCUGCACACGUGUGUUGACGUGGCACUCCCAAGGACUUGUUGACACGGAGGAAAUUGUUUCUUGUAAAUAUGUUAUUAAUAUGUUGUGGGUGCAGCAGAGGAAGCGAGGAAGGCACCCCGCCCCCCUCCCUUCCUUCUCCCUUUCGGCUCCGCCAAUCUGCUGAGCCAAGUGUUGCUUGCACCGUGCCGUCCCUGCCCGUGCUAUGCCAGGCGACCCUCGCCGUGCUGUGCUGCCCUCUGCUGUUCUGACAGUCGUGACUUGUGGCCACGAAACUCAGUCAGGUCCUUCAUAUGGAAAGCUCUCUGGAGCUCCGUACCGCCACACAGUCUCUACAAACGUGUAGGUUCUCCCCUCAGCAUGGCGGUGUUAGGUUCAGGCAAGGCAGGCUGCAUGAGAGUCAGAAAGCUGGAGCGGGUCUGUGCGGAGCGAGGCGGGGCAGGGCGGGGCAGUGCCACAGCCUGUACUGCCUGAAUAAUGAGAGCAACAUGAGAACUGAUGCUGAGGCUGAGGCCUGAGGCGGGAGCUGUGGGCCCUGGGGCUGAGAGCUAGGCUGUGAGGCAGGGCCUCGGGGGGAGGUGCCGUGAGUGGCCCGGGUGGCCCCUGACACAGGGCCAGAGCGGGAGGCAGUGGCGGGGUCGCGGCGCGGGUCCCAGGGCAGAGUUCAGCCAGAGUGCGGUUGGAGCUCGCACGGAGAAGGCCACCUGUAGUGCCGCCGCGCUGGCCGACGCAUCGACACGCUCCCUGCUGCCGGUCGUGAGUCUCCUCGGGGCAGCGGUGCAGCACACACCUGGGGCACCGCGCAGCCCGCACCUCGCGUCUGCUGGAAAUUUUAGUGAGGAAUCACUUGCUUUAGUCAACAGUGUGACGGUGACCGCCGCGAGGCACAACCUGGAGGCUGUUGCAACUUUGGCAACGUGAGUUAAUUGGGGUUUAGGCAACACUCAGUCCCGCGUCACGAAAGUUAAAGUGCUGCAGUUUUAGUAGUGCGGUUGUGAGGUGCCCCGCCCCUCCCCUCCUGCUGACUCGGGGCGCAGUGACCCCUGAAAGUGGCUGUGGCUCCUCGUAGUGGGUAGUUAGAUACUGCUGCAGGGCACCUGUUCGCCAGCGUGUGUGAGCAGCUCCCCUGGCAGUCCCGUCACUCCCGUGUGGUGAGCCUGGUAGUGGUCGGAGCCUCACGAAGCUCCGCCGUUCUGGUUCAGCUGCCUGAGAACAUUGACACGCGGCGAGUGGAAGCAGCGCCCCGUGCCGCCCGUGGAUACACAACAGCCGCAGCAUAGCAAGAAGAGGGAGAUAAAGGUACGUGGGUGUUCACUGUUGAGUCUGCCGCGCGUCUCGCCAGUCAAGUGUUGUUUGGGUGAGUGCAGGAAUCACUGUUUGUCUGAGGAGAGGCAAGGGAGGCGAGGCGAGAUGGCAAACACACUCCACGGUUUGAGAAAGUGGUGUGUGUGUGUGUGUGUGUGUGUGUGUGUGUGUGUGUGUGUGUGUGUGU